rnacentral:rRNA from 1 species
UACGUAGGGUCCGAGCGUUGUCCGGAAUUAUUGGGCGUAAAGAGCUCGUAGGCGGUUUGUCGCGUCUGCUGUGAAAACCUAAGGCUCAACCUUGGGCUUGCAGUGGGUACGGGCAGACUAGAGUGCGGUAGGGGUGACUGGAAUUCCUGGUGUAGCGGUGGAAUGCGCAGAUAUCAGGAGGAACACCGAUGGCGAAGGCAGGUCACUGGGCCGCAACUGGGCG